AAGGAUGCCUGCAAUAAAAAGUUCCCUUUUUAACCAGACCAGCUGAAACUGAUUAGAGCCAAGAUAGCCAACCAAAUGACUUCAGGAAGACCUCAGGCUUCAUUAUCAUCUCAUUUCCAUGCUAAAAAAACCCAGCUCCCUAGAACAAUGGGAAAUAUUGGGCACUUCAUCAGGCGAGUUCAGGUGCAUUUCUAGAGAUUGUCCAGGUGCUGGUAACAAUAAUAGAGAACCAUCCAUAUCCACAAGAGGCAGAACCUCUUCCAGCAAAAUGGUGCUGCCUCACCCAAAGGUGGCCGAGGAGGCCGUCGGAGGACCACAAAGCUGCAAGUGGCUUUCCUGCGGCCUGCAGGGAACAGGUGGAGGACACUUGGAAGGGCACCCACCCCGGGUCUCACAGGAGUCUGCACCCGCAGGUCACACUGGCAUUAGCCCCUCAUCCUCUGGAGUUCAUCUCAUCCAGGCGAAGACAGCUGGCUGGCCUCAGAGGGUGAGACGCAACUCGAGGGUAAAAACAUUUUUACAGGGCAUGGACACAAAAGUGGCCUUUACCUCUGGAUAAGCUUUUAAAACUUCCCAUUUACAUGUAAAGGUGUACUUUCUAUGUGCCACCAAGAAACCUAAAGUGAGUAAAAGGUGUUUCACUUUAAUCAAGUUCCCCAAUGAGGGGGCACAGCUCUGAAAAGCACUGUCACAACAGGAGAUUCGAGGGUGCAUGCAAAGCAAUGUUUCUAGAAAAUGCCAAAGGAAACAGACACAACUCCAGUGUGGACUCCCGCUUCCCUGCACUGCUGCUCCAUCCUCAGGGCGGAGGCCACAUCGUCCAGCUAGCUGUGAGAACCUCAUCAUGCUCCUUGAUUGUGUGCAGCAGGUGUCUGCUGAAGUCCUCCACACUCUGCCUGUCUCAUCCGCUGAGCAGUGCCUCCUCCCGAUUCAGCACGUCCCUGGUGCCGACUUUCUGCACGUGUUCACUUUGAGGCUGCAUUGUGGGCCUGCAAGAAAUGCAAAGCUGGUUGAGGCUUUAUUCAAUUCAAAUUCAAGCUGUUAAAUCGAGGCUCUCAGACUCCUGCUGCCUGGCCAGUGGAGAAAUUAACUUUCACAUAUGGCUUUGGGAUUUCUCUCUGUCAUCCUGGUCGACGUGUUCUCUCAUUUUUCUGAAGUCUGGGACCUCAACACAGACAUCUGGGUGAAGGCCUUGACAGCAGCGCUGGUGCAAAAUGAAUUGUCACAUCACACCCAACGUUCUCAACCUUUAGAAUCUGAAAGUAAGAAAAACACCUCAAACAUUGAUUCUGAGUAAUCAGCACAGAUUUCUAAAAGAAACUUUAUGGGAUGCUGAGACAUGAAUAAAAACAACUUUAUUCCUUUGGAAAGGACAACCCACAUGCUAAGAAGAUGACACUACACGUUGUUAUAGCCCGAAAGGCCCUCUUUCCACAGGGGAGCAGUGAAAAGUAGAGGUUGCCCAUGUGGAUUCCCAAGUCAGAUAGAUGUGGAUUCAGAUCCCAGCUCUGCUGCUUGCUACCCAAGAGACCAUGGACUGUGGACUCUUUAGGUCUCAGGGUUUUUGUUUGUUGUCUGUUUUUCACUUCCAAAACCAGAAAAUGAGAAGAUAUUUUCCAUAAGAUGGCGGUGGAGAAGAGAACUUGAUGGACCUUGCUUGGACAAAAUGCCUUCACCGCUAACUCAGUCAGCUAUGGCGAUGGGUCAAGGACCUGGUGGUUUUACAGAGAAGACCCUUGGUCAAAUCUUUGUGAAUGAAGCAACCAUUCUGAUGUUCAAUAACAGGAAUGCACCAGUUUAUACCAAACUAUCUGUACUAUUGAGAACAGCAAAAAUAUCUGACCAAAAACACCAAAGAGUGACAUUUUAAAAGACAUCAAAGAACUCUCAAGGCUUCCAGAGUUGGAAAGAUCAAGAAAGAGAGAAUGCAACUUCAUUAAGACACAAAAAGGAACAGGAUACAGAAGUGGAGGCAGUUCAGCGAAAAAGAUGAGAAGAAGGAGAAUGUCCACAAAUAAAUUUCACUUAUAAAAGUUCAGAUAAAAA
ensembl:lncRNA LINC02347 long intergenic non-protein coding RNA 2347